AACGCACGAGACCUGCGGACCUGCGGAGGGAUCAUUACCGAGUUUACAACUCCCAAACCCAAUGUGAACGUUACCAAACUGUUGCCUCGGCGGGAUCUCUGCCCCGGGUGCGUCGCAGCCCCGGACCAAGGCGCCCGCCGGAGGACCAACCAAAACUCUUUUGUAUACCCCCUCGCGGGUUUUUAUAUCUGAGCCAUCUCGGCGCCUCUCGUAGGCGUUUCGAAAAUGGAUCAAAACUUU
rnacentral:misc_RNA from 1 species